GGGAAGGUAGCUCAGUGGUAGAGUGCUUGUCUUGCAUGCAUGAGGCCCUGGGUUCGAUUCCUCAGCACCA
rfam:Dipodomys ordii contig_31414, whole genome shotgun sequence.